UACGAAGGGGGCUAGCGUUGCUCGGAAUUACUGGGCGUAAAGCGCACGUAGGCGGAUUGUUAAGUCGGGGGUGAAAUCCUGGAGCUCAACUCCAGAACUGCCUUCGAUACUGACGAUCUCGAGUUCGGGAGAGGUGAGUGGAACUGCGAGUGUAGAGGUGAAAUUCGUAGAUAUUCGCAAGAACACCAGUGGCGAAGGCGGCUCACUGGCCCGAUACUGACGCUGAGGUGCGAAAGCGUGGGGAGCAAACAGG
rnacentral:rRNA from 1 species